rnacentral:misc_RNA from 1 species
UUUCAAAAAAAGAAAAUAGACCCUUCCUCUCGCUGUUAAUUCAAAAAAAGAAAAGACUUAAAAUACAGAGUCUCGUAGCUCAGCUGGUUAGAGUACUACACUGAUAAUGUAGGGGUCGGCAGUUCGAGUCUGCCCGGGAGUACAAACAAAUUUGAAAAUUGAUUAAUUUGAAAAUUUGAAAAAUGAUUUAAGUUAAAAAGGAAAUUCUAGGGGUUGAGAGGUUAUGAAUACUCAUAACUCAUAACUAAUAACUCAUCACUAAGAUUGGGGGAUUAGCUCAGCUGGCUAGAGCGCCUGCCUUGCACGCAGGAGGUCAUCGGUUCGACUCCGAUAUUCUCCACUAUUCGAGUGAAUAGUAAAGAGUAAAAAGUGAAAAGUAAUUAACUAUUCACUAUUUACUUAUCACUUAUCACUAGAAAAAAGUUCAUUGACAUAUUGAGAUAAACAUACAAACAAGUAGAAAGAACACUUUAGUAAUUAGUACAGAGUGAAUAGUAAUUAGUCUUAGGGCUAGUCACUAAUUACUAAGAACUAAUCACUAAAAAAAGAAAACAAUAAGCAAAAUAAGGGCGUAUGGGGGAUGCC